UUGGUUUGUUUCACUCUCUGUCUGAUCUGAUCUUUGUUCUUCAAUUCUUCAAGAAAAGAAUGAAACGAAACACGCAUUGUCGUUUCUUGAUCGAAAACGUUGGCUCCUUCAAUCAUCUGCAACAUCAAAGUUUUGAUCAAGAAACCGACGGAUACACCUUUUACUACGGUAAUCUUUUCAAUUUUCAUUCUUGAAUAUUCAUCAACAUUGCAUGAGAAACUUUCAAUUUUGGGGAUUUUCAUUCUAAAUGUUGGUUUAGGGUUGAUACAUGUUCCCAAUUUUCUCAUUCUUGAUCAUUCAAUUUCAAGAUUUUUCAAUCUUCUGCUUGAAAUAAAUUGAACUUUCAAUUUUCUAAAUGAAAAUUUAACAGGGAAUACAAAACCCUAUAAGACUGUGACCGUUGGAAUCGAUGGAUAUACUUUGUUUUUUAAAUCUGACCGUUGCCAUUGUUUUUGAUUAUUCAAUAAUAUUCAAUCUUCUGCUUGAGAAAAAAAAAAGAAAAAAGGUAGAACCUUUACCCAUUUUUUCUCAUUCUUGAUUAUCCAAGAAUAUUCAAUCUCCUGCUUGAGAAAAAAAAAGUAGAACCUUGCCCAUUUUUUCUCAUUCUUGGAUACUCAAGAACAUUCAAUCUUCUGCCAGAGGAAAAAAAAUCUGACCGUUGGAAUCGAUGGAUUUACUUUAUUUUUAAAUGUUCUAAGGGAUGGAUGUCUCAAUGACCCUCGAGUAAAAUGCAUUUUGAACUAUUUGUUCAUAAUGCAAAAGUUGGAUGAUGGCCUUCAAUGCAAUUUUCAUACAAAAUUGUAAUCAUAUGAUUUAAGGGAUGAUAAUGGUAUCUAUUCUCCUUUUAAGACCCUAAUUGUGAAACUGUCGCUGAGAUGAAGGGUGGUGUGGUAUACAUGUGCCCACUAUGGCCCAAAAACGUUGGAUGAUGCCUUAAUUCGAAAGCUAGUUGUUGCCUAAAAUGCAAUUAAGACCCUAAUUGUGAAACUGUCGCUGAGAUGAAGGGUGGUGUGGUAUACAUGUGCCCACUAUGGCCCAAAAACGUUGGAUGAUGCCUUAAUUCGAAUGUUAGUUGUUGCCUAAAAUGCAAUUAAGACCCUAAUUGUGAAACUGUCGCUGAGAUGAAGGGUGGUGUGGUAUACAUGUGCCCACUAUGGCCCAAAAACGUUGGAUGAUGCCUUAAUUCGAAAGCUAGUUGUUGCCUAAAAUGCAAUUUUAAUAUGAAAUUUUAUUCAUAAUUUAAGGCUUGGAUGGUAUCUGUUGUUGAUGACCCUAGUCCCUAAAUACUAUUUGCAACAACAAUAUGAUGUGAUUUUGCAAAUGCAAAAUGCAGUGCGACUUGUGUUGGAUUAGCCUACUGGUAAUGGUUUCAAAGGAAUAGGAAUGGAACUGUAAAUGUGUUCAGUACUCAGUGCUAACUUUUUCAAUUGGGGAUGGACAUUGGAUUUACCCUAUUUGUUAUUGUUGGAUGGUCUUAACUGUAUUUGGGCAGUAUCAAAUCUCAGUGGAAACACAAAGGGAGGAUAUUUCCAGAAAGCAUUAUUUGGUGGAAAAUGUAUCUGUCAUAUGUUUUUUACUGCAGAUUUAUUAUGAAAGUCCCAAGCAUUAUAUUUUUCUUGAUGAAACCCACCACAGAGCCCUCUUCUAGGUUAAAUGGAGGUCCUUGCUGUUCUUCAGUUGGACACGGAGCUUUUGCUGCACAUGGUCCUUUCAAGCCUACAAGAAAAGACCAUCUUAUGAAAAACCAACUUGCACAGCUAAUCCUUCAAACCAAAUCCACCAAGAUUAGCUUGAAGAGGAUACCUUGAUCUUGCAAAUGCAAAAUGCAAUGCGAAUUGUGUUGGAUUAGCCUACUGGGGUAACGAUUUGAAAGGAAUUCUCUAAGGAAGAAAUGAAUCAACUGAAGCGAAAUAACAAAGAAAUGAACUCUUUGGGGUCUGAACUAUUUCUUAUAGAAUCUAUCUGGUAUAUAUGGCUUUAUGCUGACCACCUAUAUAAGGAUGCUUGCAUAAUUGCAUUAUGUGAUCAAUGAAGGAAACCAUAACGAGGUUGUAUCGAUCCAUAUUUUUACUGUAGAGCUUUUAUGAAAAUCUGAUAAAAUUUGGCGGGUGUUGGUAUAAGAGUCAAAUAGCACUAGAUUUGUGUUGAUAAUUAUAAAUGCAAGUCUUUGAUUUAGUAAUUGAAUAUAUGUGAUCUCUUAUAGGCAGGGUAAAAAAUUGUUGAUGAAUUGAAUCACUUGAGCUUAUAGUCCGUACACCCUCUUGAUUUUGCAGCGGACAAACUUGCUGCGAUGACCGAUGACAGUUCUUUCGGAAUGUAGCAGGUGUUUCUUGCAUAAGUACUGUGACUUUUGUGGCCAGGUUUGACACGUUCUAAAUGUGGCAUUUUAUAUAUUAUUAAAUACCGGUGCAAUUCAGUCUCUUAUGAGCUUUGGCUUAUGGUUAUAUGGUGGAUAUAUAAGGUGUUUUUUUGGGAUCUUGCUUUAUUUGCCUGAUGUUACUUUGCUAAAUUUUGGCACAUCAUAUGACAGUUCUUGGAAUUGUUUUGUAAUUAUUGCAGAAUUAUCGGGAAAAUUCAAAUUCUUUUAUUAGCUUGCGCUUUGGUUAUAUCACAUAGGUGCCUUUUAUUUUGGUUUGAUUCCAUGUCUCAUUUACAUAAGUGAUGUAUGCUAAUUCUUUUAAAUCAUUAUGUCAACAUUUUCUAAAUAGCUUGAACCGGAGAAUACUAUGUUUUAAAGCUCAUGAGAUGCCUUCAUUUUAAAAAGUAGUUCUCAUUAUAAAUAGCGGCACCAAUAUUUUGAAAGAUAGUUUUUUUCCUUUGCUAUGAAGAUGGAGUUCCGUAUGAUUUAUAUCAAAAUAACUUUUAUUUUAAUCUAUGACAAAUAGACUCGAGUGUCUUGAUGACCCAAAGUUUUUGGAUGACGCCUGAUGUGAAAUCUAGUUGUUUUGUUGCCUUAAAAACUUAAAAGGAAUGAAUGGUUCCUAAAUUGUGCUUUGAUAACCUUAGUCCCUAAAUGUAAUUUUGCAACUAAAAGAUGAAGUAAUUUUGCAGAUGCAAAGUGGAGUGUGCUUGUGUUGGAUUAGCUUACUUAUUAUGUUUCUGGUAGGUACUUUAUAUGUCCUUUGUAGGUCAAAUUGGUAUUCGAGAAGAUCCUGAUAGGUACUAUUAGCAAAAUUAUAAAAGUAGAAUGAGAUGAGACCUAGUGAAGAAAGGCUCUAACCUCCUAUCUUGAAACAACUUAGCUCGUUUCCUUUCCCUUGAUCGGCACAAUGAGGCUUAUGCGUGACUUGAUACUCUAUUUGAAAGGACGAAGUUCAAGUAUCAUGGUCAACAGGGGAAUUCAUGAGUAGAAGGUUUGUCUGAAUGGUGAACAUGAUUGAGAUUACAUGCUUUGGUUUUGUGUAUCAAAGAUUUGUUGGUUGCUGUGACGAGACUAGUUUAUAAUAUGCUUUGAAUGCUACUUGUUUGUAAAUUGACUAAUUUACAUGAUAAUUAGACGUAUGGCAUGUGGUACUUAUUGGCAUCAGUGGCAUGUAAGGUUGAUUUUGGAAGGGGGUUGUAAGGAUUAGCACCUCAUACUUUAAUUGCUUUAUGCUCUGAUAAGACUAAAUAUGAAUCAUUUCAAGAAUGAAAAGUGUUGUAGAUCAUCAUAGAAGUAUUUGGAUGGUUAGUUAACAAAACCUUUUGAUUUUUAUUCCUUAAUAGUAUACAAAAAAUUUCUGCAUAAUUAUGUAGAAAUCAUAUUUACAUGCUUUGAUUUUGAGUCCUUAAGAUAUAUUAUAAGCCCACUCAUCUUCUCUCUUUCUAUGUUACGUAGCUUAGAGCUUACGCAAUACUUGUUUCAUUGUUCCGUCAGGUUCUUUUUCUUUGAGAAAACAAUGAAACAUGCAUUGUCGUUUCUUGAUCGAACUUUUAUGAAUCGACGUUGGAUCCUUCAAUCAUCUGCAACAUUUAAGUUUUGAUCAAGAAAAUGAAAGAUAUACCUUUUUCGUUUGCUACGGUAAUUUUUUAAUUUUCAUUCCACACAUUUUCUCAUUCUUGAAUAUUCAAGAAAAUUCAAUCUUCUGCUUGAGAAAAAUAAAACUUAAUUGAGGAAACAUGUGCUGGUAAUUUUGGGAUUUUCAUUCUAAAUAUUGGUGUCCGGUUGAUACAUUUCGUGAUACUGAUUUUUUUAUUCUUUAUAAUUCAAGAACAUUCAAUCUUCUGCAUAUUAAAAAAAAACCUAAAUUGAAUAAACAUAUUGUCUCUCAAAACCCUAUUUUGUGCACAAAUAUUUUGAAAGACAAUAUUUUGUUUGUUACGAUGUUUGCACAUUUUUGGA